UUGGUCAUUUAGAGGAAGUAAAAGUCGUAACAAGGUUUCCGUAGGUGAACCUGCGGAAGGAUCAUUAUUGAAUGAACUUGGUGUGGUUGUCGCUGGCCCUCUUGGGGGCAUGUGCACACCUACCAUCCUCAUCUCUCCACCUGUGCACCUCUUGUAGAUUUGGAAUUGAUUAUCCGAGGCAACUCGGUCGUGAGGACUGCUAGCACUUAGCUGGCUUUCUUUGCAAUUCCAGGUCUAUGUUUUUCAUAUACCCCAUUGUAUGUAACAGAAUGUAUCAUUGGGCCCUUGUGCCUAUAAACCUUAUACAACUUUCAGCAACGGAUCUCUUGGCUCUCGCAUCGAUGAAGAACGCAGCGAAAUGCGAUAAGUAAUGUGAAUUGCAGAAUUCAGUGAAUCAUCGAAUCUUUGAACGCACCUUGCGCUCCUUGGUAUUCCGAGGAGCAUGCCUGUUUGAGUGUCAUUAAAUUCUCAACCAAUAUCAACUUUUGCUGAUAAUGGCUUGGAUGUGGGGGUCUAUUUUGCUGGCUUCUCAGAUAGUCAGCUCCCCUUAAAUGCAUUAGCCGGUGCCCCGCGUGGACUGUCUAUUGGUGUGAUAAUUAUCUACGCUAUAGACAUCUGCAAUCAUAUGGGUUUGCGCUGCUUCUAACAGUCUGUUGAUUCAGACAAAACAUGACAAUUUGACCUCAAAUCAGGUAGGACUACCCGCUGAACUUAAGCAUAUCAAUAAGCGGAGGA
rnacentral:rRNA from 1 species